AUUGAACGCUGGCGGCAGGCCUAACACAUGCAAGUCGAACGGUAACAGGAAGAAGCUUGCUUCUUUGCUGACGAGUGGCGGACGGGUGAGUAAUGUCUGGGAAACUGCCUGAUGGAGGGGGAUAACUACUGGAAACGGUAGCUAAUACCGCAUAACGUCGCAAGCCCAAAAAGGGGGACCUUCGGGCCUCUUGCCAUCGGGUGUGCCCAGAUGGGAUUAGCUAGUAGGUGGGGUAACGGCUCACCUAGGCGACGAUCCCUCGCUGGUCUGAGAGGAUGACCAGCAACACUGGAACUGAGACACGGUCCAGACUCCUACGGGAGGCAGCAGUGGGGAAUAUUGCACAAUGGGCGCAAGCCUGAUGCAGCCAUGCCGCGUGUAUGAAGAAGGCCUUCGGGUUGUAAAGUACUUUCAGCGGGGAGGAAGGGAGUAAAGUUAAUACCUUUGCUCAUUGACGUUACCCGCAGAAGAAGCACCGGCUAACUCCGUG
rnacentral:rRNA from 1 species